rnacentral:rRNA from 1 species
UACGUAGGUGGCAAGCGUUGUCCGGAAUUAUUGGGCGUAAAGCGCGCGCAGGCGGUCCUUUAAGUCUGAUGUGAAAGCCCACGGCUCAACCGUGGAGGGUCAUUGGAAACUGGGGGACUUGAGUGCAGGAGAGAAGAGUGGAAUUCCACGUGUAGCGGUGAAAUGCGUAGAGAUGUGGAGGAACACCAGUGGCGAAGGCGACUCUUUGGCCUGUAAC